UGGACAAAAUGAAGCCUCCUGCCUGU
rnacentral:piRNA from 1 species